AGUUCACGACUGUCAAGAUGUGGCCAUGAUCAGCUCCCAUGUCCUCUGCAAUUUCAAUGCAAUGGGAUGCUACCAGUGCAGCUGCAGAAGCAAUUGCAGCUGAUGUUUUUGGGGCUGCCUUCUGUCUGAUGGCUGAUGUUUCGGGGGAGGUUGCAUUUGAGGCAGUAAGUGCUGCGACGGCAGCAGCAACACCUGCCACGGAUACAGCGGCGUGCACCUGUGCAUUCUGCAGCAAGCACCAAAAAUGAGAAACAUGAUGGUGAUGACAGGGUGCUGAUAAGGACUGGUUCAAUUAGGUACCCCAGUUUUAAAUAAUUGUUGAUUGCAUACGAAAUCUGGGUUGAGUGCUUGAUGAAGGAGAAACAGUUCCUGCACAGAUUAAACAGCCGUUAAAAAGUAGUGCCGGGCAGUGCACUUCGUUCUGAAUGCCUUGGGAAUUAAGCUUCCAACUGAUCUUGAAUGUUUGCUUGCAAGGGGGAAAAUCCAGCCGCCCAUAGUCAAUUCAAGGGAGCUGAACGUUGUUGUGCUCUUUUUUAUCAGCACAAACCAAGAUUGAAGCUACCAAGUCACAUAUUUUAUAAACUCAUUAUCUUUUUAAGACAAGUAAAUUUUCUUCUUUUUAUUAAUCAUGUGUCUUAGAAGAAAGACAAAUUUUAAUGAUCAUAGAAUGCUUGUCCAGGUUUGACUCAAA